UUGACGACUCAAAUGAGAAUGGUUUACCUUAACAACCGUGGCGCCGCCAAGCGCCACUGACCUAAGCAGCGAAUGUCAGGUUCCUGCCCAUGGUUAUCUCCUCAUCAAGCUAGUCACGGUCUUUAAGCCGCCCACCCGGGCGGCUUUUUUUAUG
rnacentral:sRNA from 1 species